GAAAUAUAAAUAAUUGAGCUGCUAACUUAAUUUAUAGUGAUUUAACUCAUUAAUAUUUCU
rnacentral:tRNA from 2 species